rnacentral:rRNA from 1 species
AUUGAACGCUGGCGGCAGGCCUAACACAUGCAAGUCGAACGAGUGGCGGACGGGUGAGUAAUGUCUGGGAAACUGCCUGAUGGAGGGGGAUAACUACUGGAAACGGUAGCUAAUACCGCAUACCAUCGGAUUUGCCCAGAUGGGAUUAGCUAGUAGGUGGGGUAAAGGCUCACCUAGGCGAAGAUCCCUAGCUGGUCUGAGAGGAGGACCAGCCACACGGGAACUGAGACACGGUCCAGACUCCUACGGGAGGAAGCAGUGGGGAAUAUGGCACAAUGGGCGCAAGCCUGAUGCAGCAAAGCCGCGUGUAUGAAGAAGGCCUUCGGGUUGUAAAGUACUUUCAGCGGGGAGGCGUUACCCGCAGAGAAAGCACCGGCUAACUCCGUGCCAGCAGCCGCGGUAAUUC